GGGAAGGUAGCUCAGUGGUAGAGUGCUUGCCUUGCAUGCAUGAGGCCCUGGGUUCGAAUCCUCAGCACCA
rfam:Dipodomys ordii contig_13485, whole genome shotgun sequence.